AGAGAUGCAUGCUGCUUCAAAUAAUCAGCUGGGCACAUCAAAAUGUUUAUAACAUCCCACUGUUUUAUUUAAGGGCAUCAAACCCAAACAUCCAAAAUUUCAUGAAGAAAAAGGGCUUUGGCAACAAUUUUAGAAGACUAGAAUCCUUUUAUAUCAAAAAGAUUUUGGAUAUUAUCACAUCCUUAAAGAAGAGCUCCAUUGUUUGGCAAGACGUUUUUGAUGAUCAAGUGGAGACCUGAUCAGCUACGGGCAAGACUGGAGAAACUACUAUAAAGCGGAGCCCCUUAACUUUGAAGGUUCGGAGAAGCAGAAACAACUUGUUAUUGGUGGAGAGGCUUGCCUAUGGGGAGAAUAUGUGGAUGCAACUAACCUUAUUCCAAGACUAUGGCCUCGGGCAAGCGCUGUUGGUGAGAGGCUCUGGAGCCCUAGAAUUAUCACCAACCUGGAAAACGCCUACAGACGACUGGCAGUGCACCGCUGUAGAAUGGUCAGCCGCGGAAUAGCUGCACAACCUCUCUUUACUGGAUAUUGUAACUACGAGAAUAAAAUGGAAAAGUGACAGAAGUCUACAGCACUACAGCUCUAAUCAUGUUGAUUCUGAAAUCAUGUAAAUUAAUAUUUGUUAGGCUAUUUUUUAAAUAAACUAUCUUUUUAUUGAUUGAAUCUUUCUAUAUCUGAAUCAAACACUGAAUACUGACAUCUUUUAUGUGAGCAGCUUAAAAAAAAUAAAAGAAAAAGCUUUGCACUACU
rnacentral:lncRNA from 1 species